CAUGGUCUUUUCGGGAUGCUGUGUGAUCGAAGGAUUGAAUUGUACAGUAACUCACCACAGAAAGAUAAUUUUGAUAUUUUUAAUAAAUUUUAAAUCUUUUGGAUAGUCAUGACAUAUUGCUAGACAUCAAUCUUGACUUGUGGACUCAUCAGAAUUAAAAGAAUUUAAUUUGAGGAUCAAUUAGGAAGAGUCCUAAUUGAUUGGGACUCUUGAGCUGACCUAAUCUAAUUGGAUUAAGGUUACGUUGAGAGUCUUGAUCCACUGUUGGCU
rnacentral:lncRNA from 1 species